rnacentral:tRNA from 1 species
GGGCCUGUGGUCUAGCGGUUACACGCAACUAGCGUUGCUAGGUGUACGGCGUUGCCGCAUAUGACAACACCCUUACACGGUGUAGGUCACCAGUUCGAAUCUGGUCGGGCCCA